GACGAACCGUGCGACCGUUGUUCGGAAUCACUGGGCUUAAAGGGCGCGUAGGCGGGCCCGCAAGUCAGGGGUGAAAUCCUCCGGCUCAACCGGAGAACAGCUUUUGAUACUGCGUGCCUCGAGGGGGGUAGGGGCAUGUGGAACUUCCGGUGGAGCGGUGAAAUGCGUAGAUAUCGGAAGGAACAUCAGUGGCGAAAGCGACUUCCUGGACCAAUACUGACGCUCAUGUGCGAAAGCGUGGGGAGCAAACAGG
rnacentral:rRNA from 1 species